GAUGAAGAACGUAGUGAAUCGCGAUAAGUAAUGUGAAUUGCAGAUUUUCCGUGAAUCAUCGAAUCUUUGAACGCACCUUGCGCUCCUUGGUAUUCCGAGGAGCAUGCCUGUUUGAGUGUCUUCGAAACCUCGGAUCGACGCUUCGACCCCGUCGAAGCUCGGUUCGGACUGUGGGAGUCUGCCGGCGAAGCGUGACUUCGUCGGCUCUCCUCAAAAGCAUUAGCUGUGGGUGGCGAGCCUGGCAUGGCACGGCCUGUUCGACGUCGUAGUGAUCGUCGCGGGCUGGAAGUGUAUGGCUCGACGUGACCCAUGCUUCUCGAGUCUUGCGAGCCCGUCCCUCUGUGGGACGGCCGCGCCCCAUCGAAGCUUGACCUCAAAUCAGGUAGGACUACCCGCCGAACUUAAGCAUAUCAAUAAGCGGAGGA
rnacentral:misc_RNA from 1 species